rnacentral:tRNA from 1 species
AGCUGGGUAGCUCAGUUGGCUAGAGCGUGGGACUCAUAAGCCCGAGGUCGUGGGUUCGAUCCCCACCCCAGCUACCA